rnacentral:tRNA from 1 species
GUUUUUAUAAUUUAAAAAAAAUAUUGGUUUUGUAAACCAAAAAUAAAAAUUCUUUUUAAAAACA